UGGAAAAUGAGGCUAACAAGUGCGGUGGAUAAGGCUGGAUAGAAGAGAGAGUGUCAUGAAUAAUCCAGCCCCCUUUUGGACAUUGUUCUGAAGAGAUAAGCUUACCUGGUCAGGACACAAUGCAAGUGAACCGAGACUCUUCUCUUUGGCUUUACGUGAAGAUUAUGGGAAAAGCCCAGUUCCAAAAAGAUGAUAUUCUUCAGUGAUAUAUUACAGAAGAAAUAUUGCAAUCUUCAUUCAUUGCAAGAAAACUGAGGCACAGACAAGUAAAGUAACCUGCUGGAAACCCAGAGCAUGUAAGUCAUGGAUCAGAGCUGGAGUUCUAACUCAGAUGUUUGCCCCCACACCGCCCACUCUCGACUACUAUGCUAUUUGGAAGUGUACCUUUUAAAGUGGAGUCAGCUUAUCACUGAAAUGUCAACAACAGGGGUCUGGUGGCCACAUCUAGUCUUACAGGUAAGAACCAAUCCUGCAGUUUCGUCUCAAACACCUCUGGAGCUUGAAACAUGUUCAUCUGGAUGAAUGGCCUGAGAAAGAGUUAACUUUUAUUAGUGAAAGUGACCAGGACAGGCUUACCCUGAUGUGACCUCACAGUGCCAACUCCUCAUAAACCUUCUAAUCUUAAUGCUGUGAGCUUUCCACUGCUACAGAAAUUAUCUUUUUGUUUUAAUUAUUAAAUUGACUUCAAGACUUGAAGACUAAGUUCAUAUACACAGAUAUGUGCUUAGAGAUAUUUAUCUCCAAAGGAUAUGAUAAUGAGUGUUUACAAGCCAUUCAUUAUAAAUUCUGGAACCACAAAGAACAGUGGAGAAAAAGCUUUCAGUGGGCAGUUGUAGUUAGUUUAUCAUGAACAUUCUGGCUUAGGUGUGCAACUUGAGAGCAGGUUAGGGUAAACUGAGCAAGAUCUAGAAGGCUCUGGGCAACUAGACACAUUUGGUGCCAGAAAUGAGAAAAGGGAUAUGGUCACAAGGAAAAGAUCUUGAAGCAAUAGGUGACAUCCUGUUUCAUCUAGCUCAGCUAUGACUUUAUGUAUA